UUAAUAAUAAAAAGUCCUUCAUUGAAAAAGAUACAUGGAGAAAAGAUGACAGAUAUGGUGCACAAUGCUAUACGACAUGGAAUGAAAACAAGCAUAAUGGUAGGACCUACAACAACAACAGCAGCAACAACAACAACAGCAACAACAACAUCAAUUACAACAAUUUCAAAAAGACGGAUAUGAUACAAACACCUUAUAAUUUAAGGCCAAGAUUAAUUUUAUUAAUGAUAUUAUGAUUGACCUUCAAAUUAAUAAUUAUGAUUUUUCUUUAAUGAUAGAUACUGGUUCUCCGGUGUCAUCCUUGCCCAUGAAAGAGUUUGAAAGCUUGCGAAGGAUGAAGAUGUGGAGUUGAAAAGUUGUUCGAAGAAAUUAUUCUCGUAUGAAGGGUCGCCUAUCACAGUCAUUGCAUUGGAUUAAGCUAUGCGUAUGACCCUACAAAACCUCAAGGUUUAACAAGCAAAUAUUAUCUUUGUGGUAGGGGCAACUAUUUUCUAUGUGUAUCCGCUAGUGACAAUUAGAUUAGGGCUUGGUGUAUGCCCCACAAAAUCUCUCAAGAUCUCAGAGAAAAAGUAUUUUCUUUGCAAGAAAGACACCCAUCCACCACAGACCAGGCUAAAGGUACGUAAUUUGAG